UACGUAGGGGGCUAGCGUUGUCCGGAUUUAUUGGGCGUAAAGAGCGUGUAGGCGGCCAGGUAGGUCUGCUGUGAAAACUCGAGGCUCAACCUGGAGACGCCAUCUGAUACUGCCGUGGCUUGAGUCCGGUAGAGGAGCAGGGAAUUCCUGGUGUAGCGGUGAAAUGCGCAGAUAUCAGGAGGAACACCAGCGGCGAAGGCGCUGCUCUGGGCCGGUACUGACGCUGAGGAGCGAAAGCGUGGGGAGCGAACAGG
rnacentral:rRNA from 1 species